rnacentral:snRNA from 1 species
GUGCUUACUUCAGCAACGUAUAUGUUAAAAUUGGAAUGAUACAGAGAGGAUGAACAUUGCCCUUAAGAAUGACACACAAAUUCAUGAAGCAUUCCAUGUUUUU